GUAGGUGGCAAGCGUUGUCCGGAAUUAUUGGGCGUAAAGCGCGCGCAGGCGGGUCCUUUAAGUCUGAUGUGAAAGCCCACGGGCUCAACCGUGGAGGGUCAUUGGAAACUGGGGGACUUGAGUACAGAAGAGGAAAGCGGAAUUCCAAGUGUAGCGGUGAAAUGCGUAGAGAUUUGGAGGAACACCAGUGGCGAAGGCGGCUUUCUGGUCUGUAACUGACGCUGAGGCGCGAAAGCGUGGGGAGCAAACAGGAUUGAUACCCUGGUAGUCCACGCCGUAAACGAUGAGUGCUAAGUGUUAGGGGGUUUCCGCCCCUUAGUGCUGCAGCUAACGCAUUAAGCACUCCGCCUGGGGAGUACGGCCGCAAAGGCUG
rnacentral:rRNA from 1 species